rnacentral:rRNA from 1 species
CUACGGGCGGCUCCAGUGAGGAAUAUUGCACAAUGGGGGGAACCCUGAUGCAACAACGCCGCGUGGAGGAUGACGCAUUUCGGUGUGUAAACUCCUUUUAUAUGUCAAGAAAAUGACGGUAGCAUAUGAAUAAGCACCGGCUAACUCCGUGCCAGCAGCCGCGGUAAUACGGAGGGUGCAAGCGUUACUCGGAAUCACUGGGCGUAAAGGACGCGUAGGCGGGUUGGAAAGUCAGGUGUGAAGUCCUACAGCUUAACUGUAGAACUGCACUUGAAACUUCUAAUCUAGAGUAUGGGAGGGGGAGAUGGAAUUAGUGGUGUAGGGGUAAAAUCCGUAGAUAUCACUAGGAAUACCUAAAGCGAAGGCGAUCUCCUGGAACAUUACUGACGCUAAGGCGUGAAAGCGUGGGGAGCAAACAGGAUUAGAUACCCCGGUAGUC